UUGGACCUGAUAUCAGGCAAGAUUACCCGCUGAACUUAAGCAU
rnacentral:rRNA from 2 species